UACAGAGGUCUCAAGCGUUGUUCGGAUUCAUUGGGCGUAAAGGGUGCGUAGGCGGCGUGGUAAGUCGGAUGUGAAAUCUCGGAGCUUAACUCCGAAACUGCAUUCGAUACUGCCGUGCUUGAGGACUGGAGAGGAGACUGGAAUUUACGGUGUAGCGGUGAAAUGCGUAGAUAUCGUAAGGAAGACCAGUGGCGAAGGCGGGUCUCUGAACAGUUCCUGACGCUGAGGCACGAAGGCCAGGGGGAGCAAACGGG
rnacentral:rRNA from 1 species